GAGGUCACCAAAACGCUCACAAGCGAGAACGCACAAUGGCUAAACGAGCAGUGCACAUGGGAAGAAUGUUUGGUCACCACCACAGGCCUUACACAUACACAUCUUCUUCUCUAGGGAUGCAAGCUCACUCCGGUCUACUUCACCACACCUUAUCCCAGCCUCAGCCUCCUCCUCAUCUUGCAAGGUUUCAUCAUCAAGGGUAUUUUGGUAACACCGUGCCAUUGUUCUUUGACUAUGAUGAUGGCAGUGAUUUAUUCUGGCCCGGGAGUUUUCGUCAGGUUGUUGAGGAAGCUGAAGCUCCAGUGGUGGUGGCUGUUAGAGAGUCAGGUCUUGAUCUUAACUCGGUUGCAGCUGAUGGAAGUGUAGUAGAUAAGUGCUAAAGAGUGGGGUGAAUUUAAAGGUUAACCCUAGAGAGUGAACCUAAGUUUUGUCCUUAAAAAAUAUCUAUUUUACUGGUAUAAUAUAAAUUACGAUUAACAUAUACACAUAUAAUGUUAGCGUGAAAAUUAUCUAAAUGACUUUUUAUUUUAUUUUAUUGUUAUUUGUUUUUUUUUGGUCAACUAUUGUUAUUUGUUUAAUUGAGUCAUUACAACUUAUUACGCCAAUUUAUAUAUUACCACCGUCAUCACCCAAAUCACAUUAUACUCACAAAUUUUAAUGCAAUAUUCAUAUCUCAACAAAUACAAGAACUCUCAACUAUUAUCUUGUGAACUGUUUGAAUUUGUCUUCAUCAGAAGUUCAAUGAAAAUUGAAAAGCUGAACACUCAAAGAAAACCAUAUAAGCUGAAAAUUAUAUGAAAAAUUAACUAAUUUAAAACUAUGUUUUGUUUUUUCUAAAUGGCGAUCCAAUAGAAAUGAAAAAAAAAAUACAAGAAAACACAUCAUUUUGUAAUACAAAAAUAGAAAUGAGAAAAGAAUAGCAAAGAAAAUUAAAGAAACUACUAAAAAGGUAAAUUAGUCUUAAAAUGAUUUAUAGGUCAUUUUAUAAAAGAUAGUAUAAAUAAUCUGAUUAUUCAAAUUUGCGUUGUCUUCCAAUGAAAAAUAUGGGUUGUUGGGUUUUAUAACCAAAAUAAAGGUUUCGCUUAAAACAAAAACUAAAGUAAAAGGUUUAAUUACCCUAUUUUGCACAAUGAAAAGGGUGAAAUCAACUAAAAAAGCAAUAUAAUGAAACAAAACACCUUAUUGUUUUCUUAGAGCAUCAUUAACCAGAUGAGCUUAGAGAGAAGUGUUUAAAAAAAAAUAUUAAACAAAUGAGUGGGUCUUAGGAAAAAUCUAAGCAGCAGAAUGCUUGUUUAAGCGUCGCUGUUUGUUCUGUUUGCGGAUCCCACCAACACGUGGCGAUCCGCAAUUGAUUUUUUUUUAAUUUUUUUUCUUUAAUCAGAAAAAAAAACUUAAACACUUUUAAUGGGUUGCUAGGGUUAAUGAUGUUUUUACCGCACCAGCUAUUGGUAACAGCAACCCUCACAGUAUCGAAAGAAAUGUUUUAUUUUACCUUUCUAGGAAAAAGAAAAGAAAACAUAAAUGAAAAGGAACAGAAAAAGCAGAGACUUUGAAUCACAUGUAAAAUUUCAGAAAAACACAAAGAAAAUGUCGACGUCAAAUGGAAAAGGUGAAGCCGGGGGAAUGAAUGUAUGGGCUCCAUGCGACAUUAUCAAAUCCCUUGCGCUGCUCCAUUCUUUUUUAAAUUAACUGUUCGAGUUCAAUUAUUAAAUAUUCAUGAAAAGAUCCAAAUUAAAAUCUUUCUGAACAACUCUGACGAGUGAGAUUAAAAUUGAAAAAUUUAAUGGUUCUUUUAACUUUAUGAAAUAUAAUUAGGUUGUUCUUUUUUUUUGUAAGAGGUAAAAGUUGACUUUCACAACAGCAAGAUAGUGAAAAUUGAUUCUUUAAUGCAAUGUAAUGUUUAAAAUUUCAAAUAUCUCUAGAAACACAAGAAUUAUAAAGAACAACUUUUCUUUAUUAGUUUUAGAAACUACUCAAAACUAAAACUUUCAAUGUUUUUCUUAGAUCACUUAUUUCGAUCUUAUUGAUCUUAUGGAACACCUCUCCAUUAGACCUAUAUUUAUAUAAAAGACAAUUCCCUUUAACAUGUGGGAUAUGGUAAACACAAAUCAAACCUAAAUAGAAACUUCUUUUUCCUAUUUUUAAGUUUUCUUAUUGUGUUUAUCUUAAAAUAUUAAACAUCUAAUAAUAUGUUAAGUUUCCACAAGCUUGGAAUUAUCCAACAUUCACCCCUUAAUUCCAACUUGAAUUAGGGAGAUCAAUUUUUUGAACUCCGAUUAAGCUCCUCAUUUGCUUGAACAUAAUCCUUGCUAAUGGCUUGGUAAGGAUGUCGGCCUUCUGCUCAACACCCGACACAUGCUCCACUUCGAUCUCCACACACGCACGAAUGAAGUGAUACUUCUUGAGUACAUGCGUACUCCUUCCAUGGAAAACUGGAUUCUUCGUUGGAGCAAUGGCUGAUUUGUUGUCGAUCCUAAGCUUGACCUUCUCGCCUUCUUUGCUUAGUAUCUCACUCAACAAUUCCCUGAUCCACAUAGCUUGCUUCGCUGCUUCUGUUGCUGCCAUGAACUCUGCUUCGCAUGAUGACAAUGCAACCGUCUGCUGCUUCUGCGACGUCCAAGUGAUCAGUGAUGAACCAUAGUAGAAUGCAUGACCUGACGUGCUCCUCUCGUCAUUGAGAUCAAUGUUGUGACUGCUGUCACUAUAACCAACGACACUCCUUGACCUAUCUCUCUUGAAGAACAGACCAAAGUUUGUUGUUCCUUUCACAUACCGCAGUAUGUGCUUGAUGGCUUGUCCGUGAGAGUCUCUCGGAUUGUGCAUGUAUCUGCUAAGAACACCUACUGCGUAACACAGGUCGGGUCUUGUGUGAAGCAGAUACCUCAAACAUCCUAUGAUUCUUCUAAACUCGGUAGCAUCUAUCGCUUGUUCAUCUUCAGCUUUUGAGAUCUUCAAAUCCGCCUCCAUUAGAAUUUGAGUUGCAUUACACGCUUCCAUCUUUGUGUCACGCAGGAUUCCAUGAGCAUACCUCUCUUGUUUUAUUCUGAUUCCGUCUGCUCCUUAAAUCACUUCUAUGCCAAGGUAGUACGUUAGCUUACCUAGAUCAGACAUCUCUAACUUCUUAGACAUCUCCUCCUUGAAUUAUCUAAUCACCUUAAGUGAAGUUCCUGUCACAAAUAGAUCAUCAACGUAGAUGGCUAUGAUCAAGACGUCUCCUCCUUCAGUCUUGCUGUACACUAAUGGUACCUUCGUGCACUUCUCAAAUCUCAUCUCCUUGAGAACCUGAUCGAGUUUUACAUUCCAUGCCCUGGGUGCCUGGCGUAGCCCAUACAAAGCCUUGUGUAACACAUACACACGAUCCUCUUCUCCUUUCUUUUCAGAUACAGUCGGUCUAUCUACAAGCUCACAUAUCUUGUUUCUUGUGAUAGAUUUCAACUCGUCUGUCAUAGCUUCAAUCCAAUUUUCUUCACAAACUAGAUUGAGCUCAUCUGAUGCUAACUCUCCUCCUCUAUCGGUGCAUCCUAGAUUGAACAUAGCUGAGGCAACCUCUCCUCCUCUAUCGGUGCAACCUAGAUUGAACUUAGCUGAGACAACAUCUCCUCCUCUAUCGGUGUGAAAUCUUUUGAACCGAUAGAAUGCCUCACGAUUAUCUGCUGGCGUUGGUGGUGCGUUUCGUCCACACAAAUCUCCAGGCAAUAAUCCCAAUGGCUUUGAUGUACAAACCAUGGCCUUAGUCGGGAAUGAGUCUCUGAUUUGCUUCCAUGCGAAACAUGUGUCACACACGGCUUCUCCGUGUGUUACACUCGGUAACAAGUGUCUAAUCUGCUUCUCUGCUAGACAUACGUCACACACGCUUUCUUCGUGUGUCACACAUGGCAUUCCUACGACCCUCUCCUUCCUUACCAUGUUUUUCAUCACUCCAUAGCUUAUAUGUCCUAGUCGAGCAUGCCACCUCCAUGUAGCAUCUACGUCCCUGACAUGUAAACACUCUGGGUAGCUUAUCUCCAUAGGGGUCUUGUAGAGAUGGUUUGGAGAUCUUGUCACACGAACUAGCAACCUUCCAUGCGAAUCUGUGAGCGUUAAGUAGACAUCUUUCAUGUUAACCUCACAUCCGUUUUCUGUUGCUUGCCCUAGACUCAAUAUGUUGUGCUUCAGGUCGGGUAUGUAGUAUAUGUCCUUGAGUGCCUUCUUCUCUCCAGUCUUGCACACAAAGGUAGCCACACCCUUUCCUACAAUGUCAACACACAAUCCAUCACCAAACUUCACCUUCCCUUUGGUGUUGAGAUUCAAAACUCGAAAAGAACUCGUUGUUUCCUGUCAUGUGAUUGCUCGCUCCAUUAUCCAAAUACCAGACACUUGCAUUGCCUUUGUCGAUAUUAAGAUUCUUCGGAAUCACCUUAUCUUCGUUCAAAAACACCACCUCGUGUACAUAGAGUGUAUCGGCCUCUUCUGUCUCGUUUAGGUUGGUUUCUUGAUUCUUCUCUGUUUUCUCGGGACAGACAGUUGCGUAGUGACCAGGCUUGUCACAUCUCCAACAUAUCAGCUUUGAAUGAUUCUUCUUCGAGUUGUUAUAUUCGGUGUGUGACGCACGAUUUUGGUUGUGUGACCUACCUCGACCUCUGCCUCUACCAUUCCUUCCUCUUCCUCUACCACGGGAAUUCUCAUAGCCCCUCUGUCUAUGCUCUUAAUUGUUCGAAAACAUCAGCUUCCAUUGGUCUUCUUUCUGAGUUUCUUCUCCUACAUGCUCCUCGUACGCCUUAAGCCUUCCAACUAUGUCUUCAAACCCCGUCGAGUUGAGAUCUAGGACUUGCUCAAGUGAUGCUACGAUCUGGAUAUACUUGUGUCUCGGAAGACCCUUCAAGAACUUCUUGGCCAUCUUGGAUUCUUCUAUGUUAUCUCCCAACAAGGUUGCUUUGGAUGAUAGGCCCGAUAUCUUCCCCGCGAAGUCAUCGACCGUAUCGUUAUCGUCCAUCUUCAACCUAUCAAACUCCAUCAUCAACGUCUGAAGUCUCGCCUCCCUUACACGAUCAGCUCCUAGGUGUCGCGAAUUGAUGGCGUUCCAGAUCUCUUUUGAUGCGGUUUAUUCUCCCACCUGGAGAAUCAAUGUUUCGGGAACAGGUUGAAACAAAAGAGCUAUCACAACAUCGUUCUGAACUGGGUUCGAUCGUGUCCCACACUUCAUGAACACGAAGUAGAACCUUCAUCCACAUCGACCAAACUGUAUAGUUUGUCGAUGACAACAUCGGACAUUGGAUGGAUGUAGAUCCAAAGUCCUUCGUGAGUGGAGCCCUAGUCACGUCUGCCAUCUUGCUUACGCGAUCUCUUGUUCACAAGCACCAGGAUCUUAAGCUACAACUUAAGCUUAGAUCGAGUCUCCAACCUGAGGCUCUGAUACCAAUUCAAAUCUCAAAGAUCUCUAGAAACACAAGAAUUAUAAAGAACAACUUUUCUUUAUUAGCUUUAGAAACUACACAAAACUAAAGCUCUCAAUGUUUCUCUUAGAUCUCUUAUCUCGAUCUUAUGGAACACCUCUCGAUUAUACCUAUAUUUAUAUGAAAGACAAUUUCCUUUAACAUGUGGGAUAUGGAAAACAAAACCUAACCUAAAUAGAAACUUCGUUUUUCUAUUUCUAAGUUUCCUUAUUGUGUUUAUCUUAACAUACUAAACAUCUAAUAAUAUAUUAAGUUUCCACGAGCUUGGAAUUAUUCAACAAUGUUCACUUUCAAGACAAACUCUUAUUUAAAAAACCCUUUGUGUUAUUUUGCCACAAGUUUUUGAAAUGUUUAUGUAAAUGAAUGGCUACUAAUCUGUCUUUGUUAUGGGUUUGUUUGAAGAAUGUGAACUACUACGUUGAGGAAAUGUUUGUCAACCCAAUUUUUGUUAAACUGAACCAAAUAAUAAGUUUGUUAUACGAACUAAAAUCAAACUGAAUUACAAAAACCGAAGCGAGACCAACAUGGAAAAUAACAAAAGAAAAUUGUUACUAAACAAUAUAAUUAUUUUUUCUAUCAAAUUUUUUUUGAUCAACAACUAAACAAUGUUUGGGAAUAAACCCAAUACGGCGAACCCUGGUUCGAACCCCGCUGGCCACACGGAUAUGGGCUAUUACUUUCGGCUCAUUUGAAUGCCCAGGAGAGAGUCUAUCCGUGGGCUGUACCUCCACCCGGGGGUUAGGUCUGUGUCUUUAAUAGACCCAGGUUUAACCAUUUUCAAAAAAAAAAAAAAAAAAACAAUGAACGCAUAAAAAUACUUUCUACGUGCACACCAACGCCUAUACGGCUGUUGUAAGAAAAAGUAUUUUACUUGAUCAAUUUAGAGAAAAAACUAUAGUACUAUUUUACUAAAUGCCCCCUAGAAAAGGUCGCUGAACUAUUGAAAACAAAAAAACAGAGGUCUAACUGGCAGACACUUUAGAUUCCCACAUGUGUUUCCACCAGACCAUGCCCAUCUCUCUAACAUUUGUGUUUUCCAUAUUUGUUUAGACAUAAUUCUCUCUCUCUCUUCUUCAGUACCUCUUGUUCUCUACUUUUCUUCACCAAUCCUAUCUCUUCUCUCUGGCUUUUAUUUUCCUUACAUCUGGAUUUGACCCAUUUUUGGUUAACUCAAAGAGUACAAACUUCUCUUAAGCUUCCAAGUCAACCACUUCAGGUUCUGUCGGCUGCCUCUUCCCAGAUCUCAACAUAAUUUUCGUAAGCAUAGUACUCUCCAGUCUCCACCUUGUUUUCUCUCUCUCUCUCUGAUCUUUUCUUGUAAAUCAUAUCCUUAAUUGUUGUCUUAGAUUCUCUCUCUCCUCAUAGUUAAAGCUCAAAAGCUUCAUUUUGGAUGGUCUUCUUUAAGCUUCGAACUUGCUGAUCCUUGUCUGAACUUGCUGAUAUAGUAACUCUGUUUAAGACUUUACUUACCAUAUCUUUUUAUAUAGUUCUUGUGUUUAACAGUGAAUUUAGAGGGGACUAAAACAUUUUCUUGAUCUGCUUUUGACUUUAAUAUGAUUUUUUUUUCAGGUUAAGACUAAAAAGAGUUUGAUUAAAUGACGGAAUCUGAUGAUGCCUCACGAGAAUUACCAGCUAGAGAAGGAGAUACCUCGUUAAAUCAAGAUCUAUCCAAGCCAGAAUCUAUCAUCUCUGUCUCGCUCGAUCUCAAGCUCAACGAUAAUUUCAAUGAUGAUCAAAAGGGCGCAAAGUGUCAAUCCAACCCGAGAGUCUUCUCCUGUAACUAUUGUAGGCGCAAGUUCUAUAGCUCUCAAGCUCUUGGAGGUCACCAAAACGCUCACAAGCGAGAACGCACAAUGGCUAAACGAGCAGUGCACAUGGGAAGAAUGUUUGGUCACCACCACAGGCCUUACACAUACGCAUCUUCUUCUCUAGGGAUGCAAGCUCACUCCGGUCUACUUCACCACACCUUAUCCCAGCCUCAGCCUCCUCCUCAUCUUGCAAGGUUUCAUCAUCAAGGGUAUUUUGGUAACACCGUGCCAUUGUUCUUUGACUAUGAUGAUGGCAGUGAUUUAUUCUGGCCCGGGAGUUUUCGUCAGGUUGUUGAGGAAGCUGAAG
rnacentral:lncRNA from 1 species